rnacentral:rRNA from 1 species
AUGCAAGGAGGUCCCAAACAAGCUUUGGAUUUGACACUACUUGCAAGGGGAUUUGACCUAGAACUAUGUGGUUUGAAAACCGAAAUAUCUCGAUGCUUCCUGAUUUUGCAUCCCAUGCUCAGCGUUGCUGAGAAGAAGGAAACACUCAAGAAUGUCACAGACUACAUUACCAAUGUUGUUUGCAAACGUGCAGAACUUGGUUACAACUAUGUAGUUGUCCUAAUACCGGAAGGUUUGAUUGAUUUCAUCCCAGAGAUUCAAAACCUCAUUGCAAAAUUGAAUGAAAUUUUGGCACAUGAUGUUGUUGAUGAGGCAGGGGCUUGGAAAAGCAAGCUUGAACCAGCAUCUAGGGAGCUAUUUGACUUCUUGCCCAAAACCAUUCAGGAGCAGCUUUUGCUUGAAAGAGAUCCCCAUGGAAAUGUUCAGUGA